CAAGAGGUAAAACACCUAAAAGUCUUAUCUUUAUCCCAAGUACUAUGAUGAAUAAAAUCUGCUACCUUUAAAUUCCAAUCCAACUCUGUCCUAUUCUGUUCAGGAAUUAAGUUAUAAAGAGGAAAUGGAAAAGCCCAAUUAAAGCGCGAAAAUAUAUUUGUCUGACCAUUUACCUGAGACCUUUGUGUUUGGAGGGGCUUUUAAGCUCUCCCACUUAUAAGCAACGCACAAGAAGUGUUUAGUAACUCUUGACUGUAGCCCGCUUCUAACAAAAGCUAGGGCUUUUUCAAGGGAAAAGCAGAAGUUAGGAGAGACCUGCUUUUAGAAGCAGAAGCCGCAGUGCUCACUGUAGCGCUAUUUACUGUAGUAGAUUAAUGAUACUUUCCUAAUACCAGCAUUGCCGUCCAGGAAGAUAUUGCACCGGAGUCUCUUCACGCAGACGCAAAACAAUUCUCUGUUGCUCACUCCGAUUAUGAAGAGAGAAUUGACGUCAAAUCACUCACUCCGAUUCCGAUCAUAUCAGAUCCCUAACCGCUCCGAUCAGAUCAGCAUCUCUGUUUCUCCGAUCGAUUUCGCUAUUGUCCGUUCAAGAGUAUAUUGAAAUCGCUUGAGAAGACGGACGGCGGCGAGUUCGGAAAGUACUACAGCUUGCCAGCUCUCAAUGAUCCUAGAGUCGGUAAAUUUUUAGCUCCAAUUUACUUGUGAUUGUGUUUUGCGUCUGGUCAGAGUGAACGGAAGGAAAUGAAAUUGAAUAUGUAUGAUUUGUGGUGGUUGGAUAUGUGAAGUUGUUUUGGAUCGAUGAUUCUGUUUUUGAAUCUUCUUGUUGCUUUUGAUUCAUCAGAGUAAUGGAAUACUGGAAAUGGUUGUAUUAAUGGCUUUGUGAUUCUCUUG